GUGAGGAAUCUUGCGCAAUGGGCGAAAGCCUGACGCAGCGACGCCGCGUGGGGGACGAAGGCUCUCGGGUUGUAAACCCCUUUCGACCGGGAAGAACCGCUUUAAGACGAAUAAUCUUAGAGCCUGACGGUACCGGUAGAAGAAGCCACGGCUAACUCUGUGCCAGCAGCCGCGGUAAGACAGAGGUGGCAAGCGUUGUUCGGAUUUAUUGGGCGUAAAGAGCGCGUAGGCGGUUACGUAUGUCAGAUGUGAAAUGCCGGGGCUCAACCCCGGAACUGCAUUUGAAACUGUGUGACUUGAGGACAGGAGGGGGAAGUGGAAUUCCCGGUGUAGCGGUGAAAUGCGUAGAUAUCGGGAAGAACACCGGUGGCGAAGGCGGCUUCCUGGACUGUCCCUGACGCUGAGGCGCGAAAGCGUGGGUAGCAAACAGG
rnacentral:rRNA from 1 species